AUUUUUGUUACAACAUACCACUGAAUUGAAAUGGAAAUAUUUGCAAAAACUGCAAACAUAUACAAGAAUGCAGUCUUGUCUACUUGGCCCUCAACAUGUCCUCAGAUUUGGCCUCAGGUCAUAAAUUAAAUUGAGAUUUUCUAUUCUACUGUAUAUGGCUUCUGCUGGCAUUCUGUCAUCAUACUUACUGAGUCUGAUAGAAAAAUUAUAAGGUGUUUGAGGUACAUUACAUUUCUCUUAGUUUCCUUUUAUUGGUGGUAACGCAACAGCUCAGGACUGCAUCCCAUUAUCUGAUACAAUGAUCUCAAGUCUAUCCUAAUUAAUUGUCUGUUUUUAAAUGCAUUUUUUGCAGCGGGUUGUAAAAUUUUAUUUCCAUUUCCAUCUCCAAAUGGAGGACAUCCUAUUUACAUUGCAAAAAUGUAGAAACAUGACAUGCAGCAUAGACCAUUUGUCUGCUCAUACAUAGCUGUCUAUUAUGGUUAUAGUCAUUGCCAAAAAUCAAAAACACUUAUUCGAAAGUUUUGAAAGUCGCAUUCCUUCCACUAUCAGGCUGUCUAAUACCUUUUUUUGACCAGAAAAUUAUUUUGAACCCAACGGUGUUAAGAUAAAAGAUGUACUUCCCCUUUAGAAUUGUAAAUUUUUUAGUAAUCACUUGGAAAUCAAAUUUUGCCAUGACUAGGAAUAAAAUUGUAUUACUUGAAAUACAUUGAUGAAAUGAUGCUUUUAAUUUUUUUUCCUCUAAAUUUAACUGUUCACGCCAGAGUGCUUGGCGAAGGAUACUUGGCGAAGCCAACGAUGGAAGGGAAAAACCACCAAUGGAAUUCGAAGUUACGGCAGUAUGAGAAAAUAUCGGGCAGAUGGUGUAUCGCCGUAUACCCUCGCCGCGGGGUACCGCCAGACCACAGAGUAGCGCCAGAUCGCGGGGUAGCGCCGUUUUAUAAGCAGUCGUUUCUUACUGACAUUUACGAUUGGUAUUUGAUCGCCAACAAAUGUUUUAAUGCUGGCAGGUGGGACCGUCGACAGCAUCAUGAACUGAUCACCCAACGACCUGACCACAAUGUGGUCAUGCCCUACCAACAGAGAUUUGUCACAAAACGUCUGAUUGACGUACUAGUGAUGUGAAAAUGACGUUAGCGGUCCAAAAAGAUGUCUUAGUGAUGCGAAUUUUCAUCAUUUUGACGUUUUCUAACCAAUCUCUGUUGGUAGGGUGACGACGUGCCGGUCGAACAGGUCGAACCUGCCGCGUGCCCUACCCCUCUCCUCCCCCACUCACCCCAUAUAUGGAAACGUAGGCGAACAAUGACGAUCGGCGUCUCUGCCAAAUACCGAUAAUACCUACUCAUAUAACUAUCAUUGAUCAUAGGAUUUUAACCAGAAUUUUAGAGUGGACAUCGCCGCUUUUCGUUAUUAAUCGCAAGAUAAUUUGCAGCUGCCCCUUCGUACUUGUUAAAUCCAGUGCCAAAAUUAGUUAUUUGAAAGACCAUUGUCAUUUAGGGACGCAUGGGGGGAGAGGCAUUUAAAAGUGUAUUGUAUGAGUUAUUUAUAUGUAAUUAAAAGUUGAUGAGCGCUAAAAG